UUGAACGCUGGCGGCAGGCCUCACCCAUGCCAGUCGAACGGUAACAGGAAGAAGCUUGCUUCUUUGCUGACGAGUGGCGGACGGGUGAGUAAUGUCUGGGAAACUGCCUGAUGGAGGGGGAUAACUACUGGAAACGGUAGCUAAUACCGCAUAACGUCGCAAGACCAAAGAGGGGGACCUUCGGGCCUCUUGCCAUCGGAUGUGCCCAGAUGGGAUUAGCUAGUAGGUGGGGUAACGGCUCACCUAGGCGACGAUCCCUAGCUGGUCUGAGAGGAUGACCAGCCACACUGGAACUGAGACACGGUCCAGACUCCUACGGGAGGCAGCAGUGGGGAAUAUUGCACAAUGGGCGCAAGCCUGAUGCAGCCAUGCCGCGUGUAUGAAGAAGGCCUUCGGGUUGUAAAGUACUUUCAGCGGGGAGGAAGGGAGUAAAGUUAAUACCUUUACUCAUUGACGUUACCCGCAGAAGAAGCACCGGCUAACUCCGUG
rnacentral:rRNA from 1 species